AUCGCGGUUUCGCAGGAAGCGGUUCGCGCUGUUUUUUCUACAGCACGCUCCUGUCAGGUGCCGUUGUACGACGGUGCCGGAUUGGGGUGUGACAUUAAGAAAGUACCCUGUAAAUACCAAACUCUUAGGUAUUUUGAGGUACUAAGUUUUACAUAUAAAAAUAAUUUUAGACAGGUUAGACCAUGCAUGUAGGCAUGCCUGCAUUACGCAUGCCUUUUGUUCUUGACAGGCUAAAUUUCUUCACCAUUACCUUGAUCAGUGUCAGUGAACAAAUUCAUCAGACAAAGUUUGUACAUCACGCAAGAAAAAAUUCUGGCAAUAUUGAAAUCGGUCGUACUCCACUGGCGAGAUUAGGUGCAGAAAAUUACUAAGCUGCAGAGUUGCAGAUUGACACCUGAGCAGAGGUUAUGUAUCUAUCGGAUGCAUCAUAUGUGUGCAAAUUAGAUUCAAAUUAGUUUUCUCUCUGCCUUACCUUGACCAGGGGUAAAUUAAUAAUUUCCAUACGUUUAAAUCUCAGAAAAAUAGUAUACAAGAUAUAUAAAAAAUUCCUUAACAGCAUCGCUCCUUUCUUUUAGCAAAUUGAAGCGCGAUGAGAAAUAGUGCCUCUUUGCUGAACUUUUUUUCUUUUUUGGCACAAGUGAAGCAUGCACCUAGCUAGGAUGCUUCGACAAACUAAUUAGCAGCCAGAUACUGCCAUCGUCGCAAGCUUGGCCACAAAUCGCCUCAUUGGGAUCUCAAUCUAUUUGAACCUCCUACGUACAUGGCGUGCAACUGAAAAUCUGAAAUGCUCCUUCAGACAUCCAGCUUGAAGCUCCUGUAAAGUGGAUGUUUUUAGGAGCAUUUCAGUUGCCCAUGCUAGCCAGAGGUGUCUGGAGGAGCUUCAAAGCAAAUGUCUGCAGGAGCAUCUCAGGGUGUUCCAUCACAAGCUGAAUUCGCGCCUGGGUAAUUCCAGAUACCUGCCAUGCCAUGUCGCUCAAAUGGGCUUGAGGCCUAGAGGGCGAGCUAGCGAAGGACAAAGGAGGGGAAAUCGAGGAGGUGGAAGCUAAGACUCAGUAUACAAUUGCACAUUUCACUCAAGUUGUAUGCGAGUUUAAAUAAGUUCGAGGCAAGGUUCUUGCGUGAUGAAGGGUAGGUGGAUGAGAUAAUUUUGCGUGUGGAUAAGGUCUGGUUUAGUUCCCAAUUUUUUUUCCCAAAAACGUCAUAUCGAAUAUUUGGACAAAUGCAUAGAGCAUUAAAUAUAGAUAAAAACAAAAA